rnacentral:rRNA from 1 species
CGGAGGAUCCAAGCGUUAUCCGGAUUUAUGGGUUUAAAGGGUGCGUAGGCGGCCUGUUAAGUCAGAGGUGAAAGACGGUAGCUCAACUAUCGCAGUGCCUUUGAUACUGAUGGGCUUGAAUAAACUAGAGGUAGGCGGAAUGAGACAAGUAGCGGUGAAAUGCAUAGAUAUGUCUCAGAACACCGAUUGCGAAGGCAGCUUACUAUGGUUUUAUUGACGCUGAGGCACGAAAGCGUGGGGAUCAAACAGGAUUAGAUACCCUGGUAGUCCACGCCCUAAACGAUGAAUACUCGCUGUUAGCGAUAUACAGUUAGCGGCUAAGCGAAAGCGUUAAGUAUUCCACCUGGGGAGUACGCUCGCAAGAGUG